rnacentral:rRNA from 1 species
AUUGAACGCUGGCGGCAUGCUUUACACAUGCAAGUCGAACGGCAGCGGGGUAGUGCUUGCACUACUGCCGGCGAGUGGCGAACGGGUGAGUAAUAUAUCGGAACGUACCGAGUAAUGGGGGAUAACCAAUCGAAAGAUUGGCUAAUACCGCAUACGUCCUGAGGGAGAAAGCGGGGGAUCGCAAGACCUCGCGUUAUUCGAGCGGCCGAUAACUGAUUAGCCAGUUGGUGGGGUAAAGGCCUACCAAGGCGACGAUCAGUAGCGGGUCUGAGAGGACGAUCCGCCACACUGGGACUGAGACACGGCCCAGACUCCUACGGGAGGCAGCAGUGGGGAAUUUUGGACAAUGGGGGCAACCCUGAUCCAGCCAUGCCGCGUGUAUGAAGAAGGCCUUCGGGUUGUAAAGUACUUUUGUUAGGGAAGAAAAGGGAAGUGCUAAUACCACUUUUUGCUGACGGUACCUAAAGAAUAAGCACCGGCUAACUACGUG